rnacentral:rRNA from 1 species
AGAGCGAACGCUGGCGGCAGGCCUAACACAUGCAAGUCGAGCGCCCGUAGCAAUACGGGAGCGGCAGACGGGAUAGUAACACGUGGGAACGCGCCCUUCGGUUCGGAAUAACUCAGGGAAACUUGAGCUAAUACCGGAUACGCCCUUACGGGGAAAGAUUUAUUGCCGAAGGAACGGCCCGCGUCCGAUUAGCUAGUUGGUGAGGUAAUGGCUCACCAAGGCGACGAUCGGUAGCUGGUCUGAGAGGAUGACCAGCAUCACUGGGACUGAGACACGGCCCAGACUCCUACGGGAGGCAGCAGUGGGGAAUAUUGGACAAUGGGCGAAAGCCUGAUCCAGCCAUGCCGCGUGAGUGAUGACGGCCUUAGGGUUGUAAAGCUCUUUCGUCAGGGACGAUAAUGACGGUACCUGAAGAAGAAGCCCGGCUAACUUCGUGCCAGCAGCCGC